rnacentral:rRNA from 1 species
AUUGAACGCUGGCGGAAUGCUUUACACAUGCAAGUCGAACGGUAGAGGGGCAACCCUUGAGAGUGGCGAACGGGUGAGUAAUGUAUCGGAACAUGCCCAGUCGUGGGGGAUAACGUAGCGAAAGUUACGCUAAUACCGCAUACGACCUACGGAUGAAAGCGGGGGACUCGCAAGAGCCUCGCGCGAUUGGAGUGGCCGAUAUCAGAUUAGGUAGUUGGUAGGGUAAAAGCCUACCAAGCCGACGAUCUGUAGCUGGUCUGAGAGGACGACCAGCCACACUGGGACUGAGACACGGCCCAGACUCCUACGGGAGGCGGCAGUGGGGAAUUUUGGACAAUGGGCGCAAGCCUGAUCCAGCCAUUCCGCGUGCAGGAAGAAGGCCUUCGGGUUGUAAACUGCUUUUGUACGGAACGAAACGCGCUAGGUUAAUACCCUGGCGUAAUGACGGUACCGUAAGAAUAAGCACCGGCUAACUACGUGCCAGCAGCCGCGGUAACAC